UCAAUGGCCGAUGGCUCCUGUUGAAGGAUGCCCAACUGUGUUUCAGACUGUUUGCAGUGUUCCACCUGGUUAUCACCAGUACAAGUUCAUUGUUGAUGGUGAAUGGCGACACGAUGAGAACCAACCUUUUGUGAGUGGUGGAAACCUUGGAACAGUCAAUACUGUCCUCUUGGCCAGAGAGUCUGACUACCUUCCAGCAGUACUAAGUGCACAAAUACCUCCUAGCUCUAACAUGGAUGUGGAUAAUCAGGCCUUUCAGCGUUUGGUAAGAGUGUCGGAUGUUGCCUUGCCAGAUGAUACUCCCAGGAUAUCACAGACAGAUUUGGAUAUUUCCCGUCACCGUAUAUCUGCAGUCCUAUCAACACAUUCAGCUUAUGAGUUGCUUCCAGGGUCGAGCAAGGUCAUUGCUUUGGAUGUUGACUUACCCGUAAAGCAAGCAUUUCAUAUUCUUCAUGAGCAGGGUAUUCCUAUGGCUCCUUUAUGGGAUUUCAGCAGGGCACAAUUUGUUGGAGUCCUCAGUGCUUUGGAUUUUAUUUUAAUCAUGAGAGAGCUUGGGAAUCAUGGUUCCAAUCUGACAGAGGAAGAGCUUGAGACACAUACUAUAUCUGCAUGGAAAGAGGCAAAAUCUUACUUGAGCAGACAAGCCAAUGAGCUUGGUAAAUCAGCUCCACGGCGACUUGUUUGGUCAGGGCCAGAUAACAGCUUGAAGGAUGUGGCAUUGGAAAUUUUGCAAAAUGGGGUGGCUACAGUACCUAUAAUUCAUUCACCAGCUCAGGAUGGAUCAUAUCCCCAGCUAUUAUAUGUUGCUUCUCUUUCUGAUAUACUAAAACAUAUUUGUAGGUAUUUCAAGCAUUCUCCAGAGUCGUUACCAAUACUUCAGUUGCCAAUUGGUGCAAUUCCUUUGGGCACAUGGGUUCCGAAAAUUGGAGAGCCAAAUCGACAACCCCUGGCAAUGCUGAGGCCUACUGCUUCUCUGAAUGCAGCAUUGAAUUUGUUAGUGCAAGCUCAAGUUAGUGCAAUUCCCAUUGUUGACGAUAACGACUCCCUGUUGGAUAUAUACUCCCGAAGUGAUAUUACAGCUUUGGCCAAGGACAAGAUCUACACACACAUCAAUCUUGAGGAAAUGAGUAUUCAUCAGGCACUGCAACUUGCAGAAGAACCAUAUGCAACUUAUGGGUUGAGCAGUCAAAAAUGUCACAUGUGUUUACAGUCUGAUUCGUUGCAUGAAGUGAUGGAAAGAUUGUCCAGACCUGGGGUUAGGCGGCUUGUUGUUGUGGAAGCGGGAAGCAAACGCGUAGAAGGUAUCAUAUCAGUGGGUGACAUUUUCAAGUUCUUGCUUGGGUAGAUGAAUCAAAGAGGAGUUGACAAUAGACGUGAUUUUGAUGGUGGUUGCUUAAAUCUGUGUUGCUCAUAGCUCAUGGUGCACCCCCCAUUAUUCAUGGGGAUUCGAAACCCGAUUCUUUCGUGUAUACAAUUGAUUGGCCCCCAAGCAUAAUGGCCUGGUCUUUUAGGAUGUUAGGCUCUAAAGAAU
rnacentral:misc_RNA from 1 species